GACGAACGCUGGCGGCGUGCUUAACACAUGCCAGUCGAACGGAAAGGCCCUGCUUGCAGGGUACUCGAGUGGCGAACGGGUGAGUAACACGUGGGUGAUCUGCCCUGCACUUCGGGAUAAGCCUGGGAAACUGGGUCUAAUACCGGAUAGGAGCCAUUUUUAGUGUGAUGGUUGGAAAGUUUUUUCGGUGUAGGAUGAGCUCGCGGCCUAUCAGCUUGUUGGUGGGGUAAUGGCCUACCAAGGCGGCGACGGGUAGCCGGCCUGAGAGGGUGGACGGCCACAUUGGGACUGAGAUACGGCCCAGACUCCUACGGGAGGCAGCAGUGGGGAAUAUUGCACAAUGGGCGCAAGCCUGAUGCAGCGACGCCGCGUGGGGGAUGACGGCCUUCGGGUUGUAAACCCCUUUCGCUAGGGACGAAGCUUUUGUGACGGUACCUAGAUAAGAAGCACCGGCUAACUACGUG
rnacentral:rRNA from 1 species